rnacentral:rRNA from 1 species
GAUGAACGCUGGCGGCGUGCUUAACACAUGCAAGUCGAGCGAAGCACUUAAGUUCGAUUCUUCGGAUGAAGACUUUUGUGACUGAGCGGCGGACGGGUGAGUAACGCGUGGGUAACCUGCCUCAUACAGGGGGAUAACAGUUAGAAAUGGCUGCUAAUACCGCAUAAGACCACAGUACUGCAUGGUACAGUGGUAAAAACUCCGGUGGUAUGAGAUGGACCCGCGUCUGAUUAGGUAGUUGGUGAGGUAACGGCCCACCAAGCCGACGAUCAGUAGCCGACCUGAGAGGGUGACCGGCCACAUUGGGACUGAGACACGGCCCAGACUCCUACGGGAGGCAGCAGUGGGGAAUAUUGCACAAUGGGCGAAAGCCUGAUGCAGCGACGCCGCGUGAAGGAUGAAGUAUUUCGGUAUGUAAACUUCUAUCAGCAGGGAAGAAA